rnacentral:rRNA from 1 species
AUUGAACGCUGGCGGCGUGCUUACCACAUGCAAGUCGAACGAAGUGGCGAACGGGUGAGUAACGCGUACUCACCCUGCCCUUCAGAGGGGGACAACAGUUGGAAACGACUGCUAAUACCGCAUACUGCAGUAGGGGAUUGCGUCUGAUUAGCUAGUUGGCGGGGUAACGGCCCACCAAGGCGAUGAUCAGUAGCCGUUCUGGGAGGAGGAACGGCCACAAUGGGACUGAGACACGACCCAGACUCCUACGGGAGGCAGCAGUGGGGAAUCUUCCGCAAUGGACGAAAGUCUGACGGGGCAACGCCGCGUGAGUGAUGACGGCCUUCGGGUUGUAAAGCUCUGUUAAUCGGGACGCGGUACCGGAAUAGAAAGCCACGGCUAACUACGUGCCAGCAGCCGCGGUAAUUC